rnacentral:lncRNA from 1 species
UUUCAUGCAUAUGAUCAACAAUCCUUCCUUUUUAACCUACUUACUAGAACCCCUAGGAAUCCAUAGGGAUAUCCUUCUACUCGUGAAUCCAGUAUCAAGAUUUGAUAAUUAAUUUAGUCGUCCUCAUACCCCGUCCAUUAAUGGGCGCCAAAAACACCAUCGUCUUGAUACCUCAUAUGGCAUGAAAGUGAACUAUAUCUCCUAAAACCCUUUCGAUAUGAGACUUCUCAACCCCGUCUGACUGAAAUAAUGUCCACAGUAGGGUCUUUUAUGUACCGGGUCCGUCCACCAUUUCUCAGGAUACCUAGUAAGCUUUUAUUUAUUUAGAUUCUCAUUAUCCAAAUAACCACUAAAGCAUACCAAUAUCUCAAUUCAUAUUCACAAAUUAAUUCAAAUAGCACUUAAACAAGUGAUACAGUUUAGCAUAGCCAAAUAACCAAUAAUUAGAAUACCGAAUAAAUAAUGCAAGACGAACCAAAUAAUCAAAUAACCGAGAAGAUCAUAAAAAUCAUUAAUUCGAUUACGCAGUAUAAUAGCAAGCAAUAUAGGCAGUAUAGAAAAUAAACAAGGAAUUAGGAUCAAUGUGAACUAACCAAUUCUGCUUCACUAGUGACCUGUAAUAUUUUUAAGGGUUUUCUAAUUUUUUACAAAACACAAUUGUCGAUUAUUAAUCAUCAAUUUACUGUAACAGAGAAUAGGGUGAGAGAUCCUUACCCAGAUCGAUGUUUCAAAACAUCAUGCUAUUUAUUAUACCUCAUAACGGGUUUUUGAUUUUCUAAAUUUUUUCUACGGGAAUCCAAAAUACUCGUCACGUAUCUAAAAAUACCCUUAAAACCCAAAAUCGGUGUUGAAAACCCUUUUCAGCCCAUUUUAGGGUUCCGACACAGCGCUGUCGUCGUGCUCCAGUGCUGGCUCAGCAACCUACAAUGGUGGUUCACCUUGGCUUAGUCAGUUUUGACCGAUUUUAAUCGGUUUUACCCGAUUUUACACGUAUCAUUGCAAAAAAAUACAUUAGGGGACUUCAAUUGGCCAAAAAAUCACAAAACAACUGAACCUACAAGUGGGGGGACUCUGGGUGUGGCGACUUCACUAGUUCUCCUUCACGGUUGGGGUUUUUUCUUUAGUUAACCUGCAUAGAAAAUGACGGUGAACACAAGGAUAGGAAUUUUGUGUGAAACGGGAAACGAGAAGAGGCUCACCAGAUGGGUUUUAGGGUUUUGGCCACGGCGGUCCCGCCGGAUUUUGCCCGUGAUUUUCAACUCACUCAUCGUCCCUUUUGCUCCAAUAUGGCCAUAAGAAAACUCAGAAUUGAAUUCCAAAUGGGUAAGGGAGAAUUUUACUUUUUUUGGCUAUUAGCGGUGGCCAUGGUUCAGUCUCCUUCUCUAGUGGCUGGUCCUUCUCUCCGGCGAGGGCAGGUGCGGAUAGGGUUAGGGUUCCCUUGCGAUGCGAUAUUAUAUACUUAUCCCACGUCGAUCUACACUGUCCAUUCGUGUCGACAUGGAGCGAGGAGAGUCGUUCGAUCAUUGCCUGUUUAGCCCGAUUGCGUGGGCGAAUCUGAAUCGUUCAUCGCGAUUGAUCCCAUCCGUCUGAUCGCACCUAACAAGGGAAUGCAUCUAAGAUGUUCAUGCGCGCGAGAUUGAAUCUGGGCUAUCGGAUCACAAGACACGUGGAUCGCUUGCGUGGCCUCUUGCAUGGCGCUGAUGUCAACGUGUUUUGCCACGCAACAUGCUCUACUUCGCCGUGUAUGCUGACUGGGUCGUCCCACAUGGUCAAAUUUUUUCUUUUUAUAUUUUGACCCUCUGUUUUUAAUUUUUCUUUCAAAAACACCCAUCAAACUCAAAAUUUCACUCAUCUUUCCAAAAUUGCCUUCAAUGUCAUCUCUAACCUAUUUUCUCAAAUAAUUUAAUAAAAUUAAAUUGAAAUAAUAUUUUUAACUAUACAUAUAUAUUUUAUAAGUUAUAAAAUUUAUCCCAAGGCAUAUUUUAGGCCUGGGUAUUACAACUCUCUCCCUCUUAAGAAAAAAUUUGAUCCCUCAAAUUUUUCACCCUUUCGCUUAAUCAAACAGUUGGAGGUACUAGGAUUUGAAGUCUGAUUCUAUCUCCCAUGUGGCCUUUUGUGUGUGUGAUUCUGUCAUAGGACUUUGACGAAAGAAAUUUUUCUGUUGCAGAGUACUCUACUCUUCCGGUCUACAAUGCCUAUCGGUACCUCUUUAUAGGAUAGAUCCUCAUAGAGUGAAAGGGGCUCAUUAGACAGGAUAUGCGAGGGGUCCGGGUUGUACUUGCGUAGCACAAACACGUAAAAUACAUUCUGGACUCUAGAUAGCUUUAUAGGUAUUGCUAGUUUGUAGGCAGACGUACCAAUCCUAUCCAAUAUUUCAAAUAGUCCAAUGAACCAGGGAUUUAAAUUCUCCCUAUUACCAAACCUACUAAUUCCCUUAAAAGGGGUAUUUUAAGAAACACCCAAUCACUUUUCUCAAAUUCCAAGUCUCUUCUCCAGGUGUCCCCAUAACUCUUCUGACUACUCUGAGCUGUCUGAAUGUUCUUCCUAAUUUUAACUGUCUUAGUUGUAGUAUUCUCUACAAGAUCUAGGUCGAACAAUUUUCUAUCAUCCACCUCUUCCCAAUAGAUUGACGACCUACAAGGGCAGCAAUACAAUGCCUCGUAUGGGGUCAUUUCAAUACUUUUCUGGUUAUUAUUAUUGUAGGUGAAUUCUAUCAAAGGUAGGUGAUUAUCCCAAUGACCCCCGAAGUCAAUAACACAAGCUCAGAGUAUAUCUUCUAGUGUGCGAAUCGUCCUCUCUGAUUGUCUAUCGGUUUGAGGGUUGAAUACAGUACUAAGGAACAGUUUCAUCCCAAUAGCUUCCUGAAAACUAGAACAAAAUCGAGAAGUGAACCUGUAGUCUCUAUCGGACACCACUGUCACUGAAACUCCAUGUAACUUGACUAUCUACCAGAUAUAAAUUCUUGCUUGCUUAUCUAAGGGGUUGGUCAUCUUGAUAGUCAAGAAAUCAAAAGACUUGGUGAGUCAGUCGAUAAUUACCUAAAUAACAUCAUGUCCUGAGCAUGCCUUAGGCAACCAAAUCACGUAGUCCAUUGUGAUAUGUUCCCACUUCUAUUUCGGGAUCGGUAAUGGCUGAAGUAGUUUGCCUGGUCGCUGAUGCUUUACCUUAACCUGUUAACAUACCAGAUACUUAGAGACAAAAUCGGCUAUCUCUCUUUUCAUCCCCCUCUACCAAAAUUGGAGUCGCAUACUUUGAUACAUUUUUGUACUUUCAGGAUGUAUGACAAACUUUGAGCUAUGAAUCAUAAUGUCCCUUUUCAGUUCACUGUCAUUUGGAACACAUAUCUUGUCCUGAAAUCUGAGCAACCUAUUGGCGAAGACUCAAAGUUCUAUAUUUACUCCCUAUUCUGCAUCCUUGUUAAAAGCUGCUAUGGUGGAAUCGGUUAAUUGGGCUUCCUUUAUUCUCUGAAUCAAUUCAGGUUGGACAGUUAGGUGGGCUAAACAUGUAACUCUCUUCAAGUCCUAAAGUCGUAUUUAUUAUGCAACCCUUAUUACCCUAUAUUUAGAAACUAUUCGGUGAGCUAACAUACCUACACUUUUCCUGCUGAGUACGUCGGCUACCACAUUACCCUAGCUUGGGUGAUACAAAAUAUUAUAUUCGUACUCCUUGAGGAGUUCCAUCCAACGCCUCUAACGCAUAUUAAGAUCCUUAUGAGUAAAUAUGUGUUUCAAGCUCUUAUGAUCAGUAUAAAUCUCAAAAGUCUCUCCAUACAAAUAGUGGCGUCAGAUCUUCAAGGUGUAGAUAAUGUUCGCAAGUUCUAAGUCGUGGGUGAGGUAAUUUUUCUUAUAACUCUUCAACUACCUGGACCCAUAGGCUAUGACAUUCCCAUACUCCAUCAGAAGACAACCCAACCCCAGGUAGGAGGCAUCACUAUAUACUGUAUAUCCACAUAUCUCACUCGAUAAGGCCAACACGAGUGCAAUAGUCAACUGCUUCUUGAGUUCCGUAAAACUCCUUUCGCAAUUUUUGUUCCAUUCAAACUUAAUGUUAUUCUUCGUAAGCCGGGUCAAAGGAGUGGUUAGACUAGAAAGUCCUUCCACAAACCUGUAGUAAUAACUAUCAUUCCCAGAAAGUUACAAAUCUCCUUAACUAAAGUCAAUUUCUCUCAAUCAAGUACCUUAUUAACUUUUUCGAGGUUUACUAAUGCUCAAUCCCUUAAUAUGAUGUGCCAUAAGAAGGUAGUCUGCUCGAGGCAGAAACCACACUUACUCAAUUUUGUAUACAAUUUUUUCUCCUUGAGAACCUGUAAGACCUGAGUUAGGUAGUGAGCAUGUUCCUCUCUGCUCUUUGAAUAGAUCAGGAUGUCAUCGAUGAACACAAUAACGAACUGAUCUAAGAAUUGUUUGAAAACUCUAUUCAUCAAGUCCAUAAAAAUGGCUAGUGCAUUUGUUAGUCCAAAUGGCAUGACCAGGAAUUCAUAGUAUCCGUACCUAGUUCUGAAGACUGUUUCGAAAAUGUCCUCUACCCUGAUCUUUACUUGAUGGUAACCUGAAUGCAAGUCUAUUUUGCAGAAGACCUAAGCACCCUGCAACUGAUAAAAAAGGUCACCAAUCCUAAGGAAAUAAUAUUUGUUCUUGAUCGUGACUCUGUUCAAUCUCUUAUAGUCAAUACAUAAUCUUAACGUCCCAUCUCAUUUCCUUACAAAUGUGACUCCAACACCCCAAGGAGACACACUAUGUCGGAUGAACCCACUAUCAUGCAAUUCAUUAAUCUGUUUCCUCAGCUCUUUUAUUUCAAAACGACUCAUGCAGUAAGGGACAAUUGAGAUAGAUUGGGUGUUAGAUCAAAGAUAUGUUGUGAACUCAAUUUUUCUGUCUAUUGGUAGUUUAGGUAGUUUAUCAAGAAACACAUUCGGGAAGUCUCGAAUUAUCAAGAUCUCUUAAAUACAAACUUCUUUCUUAGAUUUGCCUAAUGUAGAGAAGACAACGGAGUUCAAACACUAUAUAACAAGGAAAUUGUCAUAAGGAGAUAAUAUUCAAAAUUUUAUCAACUUAUAAAUAACUCUUGAUUAGAAAGGUUGAAUACAAGUUUCUUAUAGAAAUAAUCUACGGUGAUGUGAUACGCUAUUAACCAGUUCAUUCACAAAAUUGUAUCAAAAUCCCUCAUGUCAAUCUCUAUCAGGUCCACACUUAGUUUCCUAUCUGUUAUGUUUAUGAUACAAGCUUUGUAGAUAACCUCCCUUAGUAGUGUUCUACUUCCAAUAGUGGACACAAAUAUCAUAGAAUUAAGUCUCUCAAGUAAUAUAUUCAAGUUUUGUGCAAAAGCAUGUGAGACAAACGAAUAUGAAGUACCAGUAUUAAUCAAAACAUGUGCAAGGUGAUUACAGAUAGUGUACAUAUCCUAUAUCAUAUCCGGAUUACACACAGUAUAAUAACAAACAAAUAUAGGCAGUAUAGAAAAAUAAAUAGGGAAUCAGGACAAAUGUGAACUAAUCGGUUCUGCUACCACUAGUGACCUGUAAUAUUCUUAAGUUUUUCUAAUUUUUUACAAAACACAAUUAUCGAUUAUUCAUCUUCAAUUUAUCGUAACAGAGAAUAGGGUGAGGGAUCUUUACUCAGAUCGAUGUUUUAAAAUAUUGUGUUAUCUACUACGUCUCCUAACGAGUCCUGAAUUUUCAGAAUUUUUCCUGCAAAAAUUCAAAAUACUCGUCACAUACCUAAAAAUAUCCCAAAAAUUCAAAAUCGAUGUUAAAAAUCAUUUCCAGCCCAUUUUAGGGUUUCGCGAUGGUUCGCAUCGGCCUGGUCGGUUUUGGCAAAUUUUGACUAGUUUUGGCUAGUUUUACAUGUGUCCCUGUGUAAAAAUACGUUAGAAGGUCUCAGUUAGCCAGAAAAUUACAAAAAAAUCGAACCUACCAAUAGGGGGGUCUUCGGGUACGACAACUCUGCCGAUUCUCCUUCACGGCUAGGGUUUCUUCUUCAGCUAAUCUGCACAGAAAAGGGUAGCGAACACAAUCAUCAGAAAAUUGUGUGAAAUGAAAAAUAGAAAAGAAUCAUCGGAUGGGCUUUAGGAUUUUGGGUUAGGGUUCUCCUGCGACGCAAUAUUUAUAUAUUUAUCUCGCGUCAAUCUAGACUGUCCAUUCGCGUCGACUUAGAGCAAGGAGAGUCGUUUGAUCAUUGCUUGUUUAGGCCGAUUACGUAGGUGAAUCUAGACUGUUCAUCACGAUUGAUCUCGUCUGUCCGAUCGCGCCUAAGGAGGGAAUGCAUCUUAGCCGUUCACGUGUGCGAGAUUGAAUCUGGGUCGUGGGAUCGCUGGGCACGUGGAUCACCCGCGUGGCCUCUUGCGUGGCACCGACGUCAACGUGUUUUGCCACGUGGCGUGCUCUGUUUCGCUGUGGCUGCUGACUGGGCCGUCCCACGUGGCUGAAUUUUUUAUUUUUAUAUUUUGACCAAUCACUUUUAAUUUUUCUUUCAAAAACACAAUUCGAACUCAAAAUUUCACUCAUAUUCCCUAAAAUUGCCUUCAAUUUCGUCUCUAAUAUAUUUUUCUCAAAUAAUUUAAUAAAAUUAAAUUGAAAUAAUAUUUUUAAUUAUAUAUAUAUUUUAUAAGUUAGAAAUUUAUCCCGAACUAAAUUUUGGGUCCUGAUAUCACAACACCAGUGCAUAGUUAUUAAGUUAGCAUGUGUUUUUGGCACUAUUUGUAAAAGUUUAUGUUUAAAUUAUUAGCACUCAAAAAUCAAGGUCAAUGUCAAAUCUCUAUUGCUAUUAUCAUGGUCAUGUAUCAUAAUAACAAAUAACAAUAUAAAGCCUUAUAAGGCCUUAGAUUGCAUCAAUAUAAAGUUUUUAAACUGGUGUAUGCUCUUAUGCCAUUUGUAAUGUUUGGGUCUCGAGAACGACUUAUCAAAUAACUUUUAGACUAAAACCAUUAGAUAUUAAAACUUCAGCACAAAUUAUCAAUAAUGUAUAAUUUGAACCAUCAUAUAAAAUUUAAUAAUCAUAUAUAUUUUUUAUAUGAAAUUGAAGUAUCAUAAAUGAAGAUAUAUAUUACAAAUAAUAAAAUACAUCAAAUAAGUUCAUUGUUUAAAUUAAAAUGCUAUAGAUGAAAUUGAUACAAACAACAGAAUAUGAAAGGGUUUUAUGAUAAUUCCCCUUAAUUUAUUACAAACAUUUUGAAGUACUUACAUACACUCAUAAGCCUAUUUAUGGCUAGUUGAUACACUUACACUCAAAUCAUCAAGCUCCAUUUUUAUUCUAUUUCAAGAGCCAUACAAAUCAUGUUUAAGUGAACAUAAAACAAGACUAAACCAAAAGAUAAUUAAUUAAUGAUAAGAUUAUUAGUCCUACAUAUCCUACACCCACUGGAAAAGAAAUACGCAAUAGCGAAGAGAAGAAAGCAACACAUACGUGCAUCAUAUACGUGACUGCUGCAAAUCAGACAGGAGGAGGAAAACAAAAGAAACUAAGAAGAAAUGGAAUUAAUAUAGUUAUAACCAUAUCGGACCAGGAGCGCUUGAUUCCCCUUUGCAUUUUGGAAAAGGUCGAUUGCCUUAUCGUUGCCACAACAAGACCAAAAGCUUCAUCCAAUUAAAUCCACCCGUCUCGCCAAACUUAUUAUCAUAAGAGUCACUGAGAAGGCUCUCAAACAGUGCAGCAGUAAUACAAGUGGCCAUGAUCAGAUGAGAGUCGUAAAUGACCAGGUUGCUAAUCAAAAGAAGGAGAGAAAAACACCCAAUAGAUGGUUUCAUUGUUCCUAUAAGAUACAUAUAUAUACACUCACAUAUACAUUAAUAUAAAGGAGGAAAGUAUAGAAUUAGAUUGAAGAAAAUGGUGGAUUACGCAUAGUAUGGAGACCCUAAUCUUAUAUUCCCGCAUGCAGGGUUCCUUUUAGUAUGCACAGUAAAGGUGGCACGUUUUUUCACAGGAAAAAGAUAAAGAGAGAAGAGGAGGAAGAAGGAGAGAUAGAGUGUACUAGUAGCAGCAAAAGCGCUUAUGAAGAAAAAGCUGCAUGGUGCAUGCCGUAAAGCUGGGACUCUUUUUAAUUAAAGCUUACAUGCACCACCCAAAAAAUAAAGAAAGUGGUUUUAAUUUAUAAUGCUUUUGUACGUAUGACAAAAGGGUAAGCUUAGGAGGUGGGGGAGCAUUCGUUCAAUUUGAUUUUGGCUUUUCAGUCUUUGUGUUUU